UACGUAGGGGGCAAGCGUUGUCCGGAAUCAUUGGGCGUAAAGCGCGUGUAGGCGGUUCGGUAAGUCUGCUGUGAAAGUCCAGGGCUCAACCCUGGGAUGCCGGUGGAUACUGUCGGGCUAGAGUACGGAAGAGGCGAGUGGAAUUCCCGGUGUAGCGGUGAAAUGCGCAGAUAUCGGGAGGAACACCAAUUGCGAAGGCAGCUCGCUGGGACGUCACUGACGCUGAGACGCGAAAGCG
rnacentral:rRNA from 1 species